UACGGGGGGGGCAAGCGUUGUUCGGAAUUACUGGGCGUAAAGCGUGCGCAGGCGGUUUUGUAAGCCAGGUGUGAAAUCCCCGGGCUCAACCGGGGAGGGUCAUUGGAAACUGGGGAACUUGAGUACUGAAGAGGAAAGCGGAAUUCCACGUGUAGCGGUGAAAUGCGUAGAGAUGUGGAGGAACGCCAGUGGCGAAGGCGGCUUUCUGGUCAGUAACUGACGCUGAGGCGCGAAAGCGUGGGGAGCAAACAGG
rnacentral:rRNA from 1 species